CCUUUGACUGAAUCCAAAAUUCACAGAACGAAUCCCCUUAAUAAAAGGAUUUGCUCUGUAAAAUUUGGACCCAGUCAAAAGGCCGCACCCAAGAACCUAGAAGGCCUCAUGUGGCCUCGAGGUCUCAGGUUCCCCACCCCUGAAUUAGAUGAUCUCUAAGGUCCUUUCUAGUUCUAUAUCUAGUUCUAUAUAUCUAUGACUGACAGAAGAAAGUACCUGUUCAACACCACCACCACAGAAGACCUGGCACUACGCACUGGAGCGGAUAGAGUCUGGACAUGGAGGAAAUGUAAUGGAGAAGACCAAGGGAGACAGAAAAAGUUUAUUUUCGAACGUGUCAACACACUUCUGAAAAGGUUACACAUAUGA
rnacentral:lncRNA from 1 species